UACGUAGGGGGCUAGCGUUGUCCGGAAUCAUUGGGCGUAAAGAGCGUGUAGGCGGCUCGGUAAGUCCGCUGUGAAAGUCGGGGGCUCAACCCUCGAAUGCCGGUGGAUACUGUCGAGCUAGAGUGCGGAAGAGGCGAGUGGAAUUCCUGGUGUAGCGGUGAAAUGCGCAGAUAUCAGGAGGAACACCUAUUGCGAAGGCAGCUCGCUGGGACGUAACUGACGCUGAGACGCGAAAGCGUGGGGAGCAAACAGG
rnacentral:rRNA from 1 species